UACAACUUUCAGCAACGGAUCUCUUGGCUCUCGUAUCGAUGAAGAACGCAGCGAAAUGCGAUAAGUAAUGUGAAUUGCAGAAUUCAGUGAAUCAUCGAAUCUUUGAACGCACCUUGCACCCUUUGGUAUUCCGAAGGGUAUGCCUGUUUGAGUGUCAUUAAAUUCUCAAA
rnacentral:rRNA from 1 species